rnacentral:misc_RNA from 1 species
GAUGAAGAACGUAGUGAAAUGCGAUAAGUAGUGUGAAUUGCAGAAUUCAGUGAAUCAUCGAAUCUUUGAACGCACAUUGCGCCCCUUGGUAUUCCAUGGGGCAUGCCUGUUCGAGCGUCAUUUGUACCUUCAAGCUUUGCUUGGUGUUGGGUGUUUGUCCUGAGGGACUCGCCUUAAAGUAAUUGGCAGCCAGUGUUUUGGUUUUGAAGCGCAGCACAAGUCGCGAUUCAAAGCUAUACGCCAGCUUCCACAAGCCUUUUUCACUUUUGACCUCGGAUCAGGUAGGGAUACCCGCUGAACUUAAGCAUAUCAAUAAGCGGAGGA